GAUGAACGCUGGCGGCGUGCCUAAUACAUGCAAGUCGAGCGAACAGACGAGGAGCUUGCUCCUCUGACGUUAGCGGCGGACGGGUGAGUAACACGUGGAUAACCUACCUAUAAGACUGGGAUAACUUCGGGAAACCGGAGCUAAUACCGGAUAAUAUAUUGAACCGCAUGGUUCAAUAGUGAAAGACGGUUUUGCUGUCACUUAUAGAUGGAUCCGCGCCGCAUUAGCUAGUUGGUAAGGUAACGGCUUACCAAGGCGACGAUGCGUAGCCGACCUGAGAGGGGGAUCGGCCACAAUGGAACUGAGACACGGCCCAGACCCCUACGGGAGGCAGCAGUAGGGAAUCUUCCGAAAUGGGCGAAAGCCUGACGGGGAAACGCCGCGGGAGUGAAGAAGGUUUUCGGAUCGUAAAACUCUGUUAUUAGGGAAGAAAAAAUGUGAAAGUAACUAUGCAUGUUUUGACGGGACCUAAUCAAAAAGCCACGGCAAACUACGU
rnacentral:rRNA from 1 species